ACCCGAAUUCGUGAUAAACCACCAAAUCUGACCAAACGUAAUCCCAUCAGAUACCAGAUCGUUAAGGCUUUCAGGCUCCAGAUCCGUAAAAAUCAGAAGAUUAAACACCACAUAAGCCAAUUUUCCUUUUUGAAAACCAGAUCCUAACAAUAAAUGUCGGAAUCCAAAAAAACUCAAAGAUGAAGUUCCGCUCCAUCCCUGAACCAAUCCCAUCGAACGAGAGAUUGAGAGAUCAUCUCUCCAUCCCCCCGCCCACAACAACGAGAACCGCCAUAUCAAAACCUAAGACCAAAACCAGCCAUCAUCGCAAUCUCCUUUUCUCUCUCGCAAUCGCCUUUUUCUUUUGGAUUUUUUUUUUUCGGUUUGGGGGAAGGAUCCAUUUCUAUUUGGAUUAUGGAAGGUCUCAGGAUCUUCCUUUGGGUCUAUCGUAACAGGGAUUAACGGAGCAUUGAUGAUACGAUCAGCUUUGGUAUGGUCAGCGAUUUGCAUUUCCUAUAUUCGAUUUGUGUCCUGUAUUGGUGUAAGUGCUGUAGACGAGGUAUUUAUGCGAUGGCUAGGGUUAUGUUCAGGAAUCAUUUCUUUUACUCCUUCUCCUUGGCUGCUUCUUCGUUUCAGUUCAUUCAGCAUCUGGCGAUUAUUUUAUUUGAGUAGUGUUCAACGUCCCUUACGGUUGCGAGUUAUGGCUCAAGUGGCGUUCAACAAGAGUAAAGCUUCCUUGGUUCGUACUGACACAGUGAGGAUCUCCAAUUCAGUUCUGGCUCAGAGAAUCCAGCAGUUCUCUAUGACUCUCAUUGGGAGGUUAAUGAAUCCGGUUUGCCAAAGAAUGGAGUCUUUGGUAGCAAAUUUUCCAAAAAUCUGGAAAUUGGAGGAUAAAGUAGUGGGAGCGGAUCUGGGACAAGGUGUCUUUCCGUUCAACUUUGAUGAUGAAGAAGAUAUUCUGUCCGUUCUUCAGAAUGGUCCUUAUCAUUUUGAUGGCUGGAUGGUUUCUCUGGUGAGAUGGGAACCGAUCAUUUCCUCCACAUAUCCUUCUGCAAUUAAUUUUUGGGUGAAGGUGGCUGGGAUUCCGAUGCAAUUGUGGGAGGUGGCAACUCUUGAAGCCAUUGGUAAGAAGAUUGGGAAGAUUCAAGAGGUUGAUGAGGAAUCGAGCAGCUUGUGUGUUUCUGUCAAUGGGUUUAAUCCUCUAAUUUUCAAGAUGGUGGUGCCUUUUGAUACAGGUGAUGAAAUUGUGGUUUCUCUAGAAUAUGAGAAAUUGGUGGGUGUAUGUGAUCAUUGCUUUAGGAUGACUCAUGAGUCGAGGGUGUGUUCAGAGAUUAAGAAGUUUGGUCCUGGUCAUGGCAUUGAUGAGCAGUUGGAUAAAAGGGGUGGUCAAAGGCAGCUUCCUUUGGGGAAGCAAGAGUCACAUCACAACGUUGGGGGUUGGGAAAAGCCUAGGAAGCAUGCUAAGAGAGCUUUAGAUUUCCAGUCUUCGGAUGUUGGUGACCAUGGUUUGCUACCGCAGCAACGGAUUGGUGAUAGUGGCUUUUCUGUUCCUUGUCAACAGGAGCGGCUUCACGGUCCGGUUUGGGGUCAAAAGAGGAAUGUUGGUGAGGUUGCUGGUCGCCGCGGCUUUCAAUCAGGGUAUGGGGAACCGUCGGGUAAGGCUCAUGUUUUCCAUCUCAAUAGGAAAGGUGUUGGGCCGGCUUGGCCCAAACCCUUGUACAAGGUUAAAGAGGCUCCCAUCGAGAAGCAUUCCCAGCUGAGUUUUCCAAAUAUUGUGGGUGUAUCUGAAUCUAGUAACUCACAAGUGACCAGUGAUUUGGAUGGUUUCUCUCAUAAGGGUGAUGGUGUGGCUUCUAUGGCUAUGGAUUUUGUGGUAUAAACUGAUGAUCUGCUUGAGGAUGGUGAGUUUGAGGAUAAUGCUAAGGGUGGUAUCAAGGCUGUCGAGGAGUUGGUUGCUUCUCCAGUUCAGGGAAUAGAGUUACAUUCUGGUCAGGAGACCGAGUUACACACUGGUCAGGAGACUGACCCUCAAGGAGAGUCUGAUGGUGGUCAGCAAUGUAUUUCUCUUCUUUCCGGUCCGGUUGACCUUGAAGUGGGUGUAGUGAAUAGUGUUAUGGCUGCUUUUACCUUAGGAGAUCAGAGUGGUAACAAACGGAGGGUUAUUAGUCCUUAUGUUAGAAAAGGGGUGAUGGGAACAAACAGAAGAUGAUGGGGAAACAGGGUAACUCUACAAUGGCCGGUAAACCAUCGGAUGGUGGUCGUCUAGGUAAGAAAGGGAUGGGGGCUCUCCCGAAACCGCCGGCUAGAAUGUGAAGAUUCUGAGUUGGAACUAUCAGGGCAUAGGCACUGACCUAACAGAGGAAACUCUUUAUUUUCUGAAAUUUCAUUUGUAAACUCUUUUUCUCCAGUUUUGGCAACUAACUUUGGAGUUCUCUUUUUAUUUAAUGUUUGGUUGAAAAAAAAAAUGUGACUUAAUCAUAGUGUAUAAAUGACU